AAUAAAUGUAGAGAUUAGAACAGUCACUUGAUCACAAUAACCGGGUUGACAACUAAGGUGCAAUGCACCCAGAUGUAACUGAGCCUAUGGAGGGCGUGCAAGACGGGUGUCUUGCAGAUGACCCUUAGAUGGGAGCAGGGGUAGCCACCAAAAUACUCAACGUGGUGCGCUGAGGGAAGCUGAGCCGGUUACCAGGUGGAGGAGAGGUCCAGCCACCCAUGGAGGCCACCCCGCCAGAGGCUUCCAGGCGCUUUUAAGUGAUCUGAGCGUCCCCGCCCGUCCGAACUCGCAGGGAUGUUUCUGGAGCUCCAAGUCUGCCUCUCCACGUCGUCACCUGCCUUAAGGCCGCCCAGCUCGCUGACGCCUGGUUGGGAAAGAAGAUGGAUGCCCCUGGCGUGUGCUCGGCUUCUCAUUCCACACUUAGACCCAAGCAAAAGGAUUUGUGAUAGACCCGCGUGAACAAAGAUGAAGCUCUUUCCUGCCAAACUAAGAGAACCGGGAAGAGUCAACCCUAAGGAGGAUUUCCCUCCCUCCUCACUCCUCAGCGGCAUCUUCCCUCCAGAGCUGUUGCCUGGCUGUUGCUCCUCCCCAAUCUGGCCUGAAAUUUCAAGGGCUAAUGGUGUGUGUUCCUGCCAUAAUUAGGAGGCCAUGCAGCAAUCCAACACCCGUUAAGACAAACAUGUAAGUCAUCCUUGUGGGGAAAGACUGAGGGAGGGAGGCAGCUGGGACCCCUGCUGGAAGAAUCUUCAGCCAGGGGAGGGGCAUUUCCGUGACCCUCUGCUGCUUCUGGCCUUGGUCUUCUUCGGUUUUCCUUAAAAAGAAGAAAUGUGGGCAAAGAACAAGCAUCCCGCCACCCACUGGACAAGCUGAGGAACCUGUGUCUUGGCUUGAAAAGUUGUCUAAGUCACUGGGGGCUCUGAGCUGAGAAGAGCAAGGAUCUGGGUCCCUUACCCGGCACAGCAGUACCAGGUCUAUAAAGGAUGCAGAACCUCUUUUUCCACCCCUGUAAAUCAGCCUUUCACAUUGUUUAAGGUACGUUGAUCAAUCUAAUGGCUUGUAAUAGGUUUCCAAUUGUCAUUUGCAGAAGCCUGCAGGCUCACACUUGAGUAGGGUGAGUUCUCAGUCCUCCUUAAGCCCCAGGCUGGUCAUUGCAAAAUCCAGAAAGAGCACCCAAUCUUGGUGCCCAGGAGAGGGAGUGUUGCUAGGGAUGUCCACCGGCUAAAUUGGCCUUCCACACAACAUUUCCAGGGUAAGCAAUGUCAACCAAAACACAUUUUGUCACUACCAGGAACCUUCUGCAUUGACAUCCCUUACUGUUAUGGUUACAGUAAAAACUUGACUAGUCACAAACCAAGAUGCUCUUGGUCAUAUCUUUUUCUUAUUUUGAACGGUAGUGAUAAGGAAUGAUUUGAAGGGGAUUGUUGAAGGGAGGAAAGGGGAACUUUCCCA